GUAAGUGUAUUUCUUGUUGCAUGUCACUUGGUUCUACAAAUCACAAUGCAUGGCGUCAUGCUGAUGGCAAGUUUGCUACCACUGUACGUUUCCUCCACCCAUGUUCUCCAUGAGAGGUCCGUGUCUGGAGAGCAAGCUCUGAAAACUAUUUAUGCUGUGUUUCAAAUGCGGAAAAUUAGAGCAACAGCAGCUCUUUGUUCACCCCCGUGCUGCAGCAGUGAUGUUUGGCUGUCUGUCGGGGCAUAGUGGGUUUUAUAGUAGAUGUCUCGGUGAUUUCUUUCUGAUAAGAGGCAGUAGGUCAUUGCUGAAUUAAAUACUUAACAAAGCAACCUGGCCUUGCAACCGCACUACUGAUUGGAGUCCAGAAGCAAGGUAUGUGCAUGAGCUCACUGUGCAUUUCUCCUCACUUCUGCGCUGGGAUAACUUGAAAAGCCAAGGAGAGGUAGAAGUAAAAGUAGAAUUUAACAGCGCCAUGCUGAUUCGAGACUAGAAAGUGUGAGGAGGAAGUAAUAAGCUUACCUUUUCCUUUUGUCACUCAGCAAAUUCACAGAGUUGUCCCUGGAGAGAACAAUGUUCAUGUGAGCACCGGGGCAUUACAGCAAAUAAUUCCACUGCCUCAACCACAAACUAAUUAAAAAACCUCCGAUGCUCUCCAACCCCUUCCUCUGUUUCAUUUCCUUUCCAGGCAGGACUUCAGUUCAAGUCUGACAUCCUUUGGGGCCUUUGCAAUGAAUAAGACUAUUGCAGUUGUUCUAGAGCUUUCCUAAGCUUUACUUGGAGAAACUACCCAAGUAUUCAGCAAUAUGUGUGAACCAAGACCUAAAAGCUGUGUAUAUCUGGCAUAAGAGAGAGAAAACUUGGAACACAGAGUUAAAAUUCAUUCUGUUUCUCAUACAGGAGCUGCUACACCUAGAGUGAUACUAUUCAGAAGAGCUGGCUUGGGGCAACCAAGUGCUGGAGGAGGAUCCCAUGCAGCACUUCAGGAUGUAACAGCCCUGCUGUUAUGGUGGCAAGAAAUGAGACGAAGUCUUAGGAAAAGCAGCGUGAGGAGUGGGCUUCUUAACACUGACGUGGGCUGUGUGAGGCAGGGUUAAAAGUCUGAUCCGCCGCCUGCUGUACACACAGUCAUCAACCUUCCACAGACUCAUUCUGCUUUCCUCAUGGACCUUUCUUCUGCUGCCCUCCUACCUCCAGGACUCAUCUUUACCUCCUCUUCAUUGACUCUGUCCAUGAAAGUUGCCGUCAGGGUGCGUCUCUUGUUUUCCUUGACUGACUCCUCAGUGUGUUUCUCAGCCUGCAAGGUAAUUUAAAAGGAAUAGAGCUGAUGUUUUUAAAGGAAUGCCUCCAGAUCUAAGCUUAUCUGUGCCCAUACGAGUCCACUGAUAAAUUUAAGGAGCAGAUUUGGCUUCCCCUCUGGCUGAUGGGUACAUUUCUACAUGGAAAGAGGUUGUUCCAGCACAUCACUGCAGUGUGGGAUCACAAGGAGACCGGCGUGGAUGUCAGGAUAUUGCUGUGGGAGCUUGGACUUGGAAUGAGCCUUGUACAAAGCCUGGAUGGUGACCUUCUACUGUGUUGGCUGCACCACUCAGCUUGGUGUCAUCAGCAGACUUGAGGAUGCACUCAAUCCCACUAUCCAGGCUGAAGAUGUGAAGCAUGCCACUAGAAAGCUCAAAACUGAUGUAAUUCAGGCCUGGAGCAUCUUGUGAGAGUGGCUGCGCUGAAUUCCUUCCUACCAGGAUUUCUCUAAAGCACUCAGGAAUCCCAGAACUGCAGUGGUUGGAAGGGACUUCUGAAGAUCAUAGAGUCCAACCUCCUGUUCGAGCAGCUUCCAUAAAGCAAGUCACACAGGAAAGCAUCCAGUCUGAAUGGUGACGGAGGGUUGGAAAGGCAGAAGAGGAUGAACUUCCACUUCCAAAUGGUCAACAACAGAAAUGAGAGAUCUGUACAUGGAGACAACUAGCACAGGUUACCCAAAGGCUGGAUUAAAAAGCAAAGACAAAAGCUCAUCAUUGAUGAAGUGGAGCCUCGUCAUGUGAGGUGCCAUAGCAGCACAGACUAAACACACUCUUCCUGCUGCAGGAUGCUUGCAGUGUCAGAGCAGGCAAAGCUUAAGUAAAGCAAAGGAGAGCACAAGCACUGCCUCGCUGAGCCCCUCUGUAACCACGACUGUAACACUAUAAUGGGAUGGAAAGUACUGCAAUAAUAGCAGGGUAGCAAAGUCUUUGGCUACAGCGGAAGAGAAUAAGCCUAAAUGCAGCAGAUACAGAAAAGAAAAAACAAACAAACAACACUGCUUACCUUUGGAAGGCCUCAGCUCAUUUUCCUAUGCAAUGGGAAUGCCACCAUGCAUCUAGAAGGGCUCGUCAUCUCCUGUGGACUUGGCUGCAAGCAGCUUGUCAUGAAGCCAGCUAAAGUGCAGGUUACCAGAGAGCUGCUGAAGUGUUACUUCAAUGCUAGUGUUAUUGUCUUCACAUGGAUAAUUGAUGCUGGAAUAAGUGCUAACCUAAAAUAAAAUGAUAGAAAUUUUCUUUCCUGGACAGCGCUAGUGAUGCUUCAGCUUUUGACUCACAUGAGUGAGCUCAGACCGUGGUUUGCUCUGUGCCUCAAAAAGGAGAACGACCGUAUGAAGCGUGGAUUGCAUCAAUUUAGUUUGGUUUGGAUGGGAUCGGAUUGGUUUUCCUCCCAGCUGUGUGUAACAAAGACAGCUUUAUGCAGUUACACUGCACGGCAAGCUGGAAUUUGAUUUUGUGGACUUGACACGGAUUUCAUUCAACACAGGGAUUUGCAUAAAAUGGCUAAUGGUUUGUGCUGUAGUCACACAAAAGUCAAUAACAACGUCAGGGGAAAAAAGGGCAGAUUGGUGAAGAAUGAGAAUGCCAGCCAGGAUCCUGGCAGCGUGGAGAUGAGGCUGAGGAAAUGCCAACACAGAUGAACAAAGGAGCCCUACGCUGCUGGCACUGAGCAUGAGCCCCAACCAGCCCUGCAGAUAGGAGCUACCUGCAAAGCCAGCCUGAGCGCAGGGCAUGGCAUGGGGGGAGACAGGGAAGCACCAAGGGAAGAGGAGAAAGAUGUUGUAUCUGAAUGCUAGGGCAGAAAGCUUCCGCUUAUUUAUCUGCUUUUGAAUUUUAAUGAUCAGUUCGAGUGAUAAUUACGGAAUUUCUAUAUUUAUAUAAAACCAGCACAUAAAAUAGCACGAUUUGAUAUUUAUGAAGUGCCAGUUUUCCAUAAAUACAGAGAUUUGUUAAUGAGCGCUGGGAACUAUUCAUUAAAAUUCAGAAGUAGAUAAAUAAUGAAUAGGAAUUGCUGUUUAUUCAUUAAAAUUCUCCAAAAAGAAAAAAAGAAGAAAAGAAAGAGAAAAAGAAAAACUCCUCGCUUAUUGUUGCCGAACCUAAGCCUGUUUCAUAAGCAUUUUGUUUUAAUUAAUGCCAUUUGACACUAUUAGUGCCAGAAUGGUAGAGAGUCAUUUGGACAUUGCAGGCUAUAAGUUGGGCUGCAGUAAAGCCAUCCAGGGCCCUGAUGUUAAACCAGUGUGGGCUCCAUUUAAGCAUCCAGGACUGCUGUAGGUGCAUCCCAACUGGGGAAAGAAGGGUCAGUCCUGGGUGCAGCGUUGCUCAUUGCCCAUGGCUGCAGAUCCAUGGAUGUGAAGCUGUGCAAAGAUGCUGUUCUGGAGUUCAGCACUUCUCUUCUGUCUUGACAGCUGAACAAGAUGAUCUUCGAGGUCUUUUCCAACCUGAAAUUGUCAGGUUGUGCAGUUGGAAUGUUGUUGGUAAGAAAAUGUGAAACAUGGCUCCACACCACACAAAAACACUGCUGGGCUAAGCUUUGUGUUAGUAAGAUUAAUGCUGGCCUGGUGUAGUUGCCAGGUCAGGAGCAGUUGUGUCUGGAAACGUGUAAUUACAUUACAUAGCUGACCAUCAGCUUAACAUUCAGACCACUGCAGAUGCUGGAGUGGCAUCAAGUUUUGAGCUGGGCACAGGAAACUUGCAGGCAAAGCGCCCUGGGUUACAGCAUUACCCUUUCCUUUCUUUGGUUCCCUAUCAUUGUUUUGUCCCGCACACACAUUUGCUUUACGCUCUUUGCAUCCUCCAUACCAUGGAGGCAGCUCUCAGAACGCCAACGGGAGGCAGCAUCCAGACCUGGCAGCAUCCUCUUGGCUCCGGGCUCUCCAAGGCAGCUCAUCCCCAUCACUGCAGCCAGCACAGGAGCUGGGGGUCCCAGCCAUGGGAAUUCUCCCCGUUGGGUUUGGGGAAGCAGGAUUGGUCCCGCAGGGAGCAGGCUUGCUCGCUGCUGGCUCCAGCUGCGGAGCACAGGAGGAGAAGUGAUGCUGUCAGUGGUGCAUCUGUCAAGAACGCGAGGUAAAGGGUUGUCAGGAAAGACAUGGAAUUGGAAAUGAGGAUUCGGGGCCCCUUUAAAAGAGCUCUUGUCUUUUUUUUUUUUUUUUUUUUUUUGAAAUGAAGACAGACAAAAUGGAUCUUAGUAUAUUUAAAAAGGUCUUAACGGCAUUUGGGCUGCAAAAGGUUUCCUUUCCACCUUUCAUUCCUUCUGUCUCCCCUUGACCUCUCGCCUUUCCCUGAAAGCUGGAUAUAAAACAAUAAAAUGUGGGGCUUUAUGUAGAAUACCAAAUCGGCUCCUGUGGGGAACAGAAUUAAUUCUACUCAGGAGCAGAAAACGAAACCCAGAAGCAUCAAAGCGUAGACAUAAAUUCAAUAUCCCACUGAGCCCAUCACUUAGGAUACUUCACCCUUUCCUGCAUGUCUAUCUUUCAAUCAAAUGUAGAUGUAGGGAAGGGUUUAUUUUAGUUUAGCCUGGUGUUACAAAGGCAGAAGGGAAAGAGCAGCAGCAGUUGCUGUCUAUUUGCCGUGUGAGGUUUAUAAUUUCACAAAUGCCAAAUGCAUUAAUCCAACCUGUCAUGUCGCCACUCUGUUUGUAGAUCAAAUGGGAUUAAAAGAUUUAGUUGAAGCUUUCCUGAUACAUUUAAAUAAUAUGACUGGAAAUAUAAUAUUCAGGAAAAUGAAUAUUUUAGAAGUACAAUUUGGAACACCUGAUACGUUAACACCCACUGUAUUAAGAAGGAGCAGAAGGGAGGUUGUCCCAGUCCUGCAGAGCAAUGCUGGUAGCACACUCCAUUCUUAGCACCAGGAAGCUCACCUCAAGCAUCACUGGGCUCAUCCACUGCUGGAGAGUCCCACAAGAUGCUCCAGCACAAUUACAUGCGGGGCUCAUCGUUAAGCAAAUGCUUACACAUUUUGCUGGAUGGAACCUUUACAUUUUUGCAGCCAUACUCAGCCUUUUUUUUCCUCUUUAUUAUAUCCAUUGUUUGUUUAUUCUGCACAAGGGACCACAGGCCUAAACUAUUGUCUUUUCUGACCCUUAUUCUGCACCCUGGACAUCUGGUUGUGGUGUGAGCAGAUGCACCCAGAGCUGUCCAGGCUUUUGUGUUACAUGUGAGUGGGGCAGUGGUGGCUGGAGCCCAUGAAGGUUGCACCAUCCUACCAGCAUGAAACUGAAAUGGGAGCAAAUAAGUGUGGAUUUUGAGCUUGUUUUGAAGGAAAUGAGGUUAAUCAUCUGGAUAGAAAGAAAGAAACAGUCAUUGCUCUCCCAGUGGUAGAUAUUCUGACCUUCAGUAGCAGAUUUUGGUUAGGCAGCUGCUUCUCAGUAGACAUGUUCUACCUGAAUUCCAGCAGAGGAUGUGAUAAAACAGUGCAGGAUGUUACGUACCCACGUAGGUACUUGUUCAAGUGAACAAAAAAGGGAGAUUGCAAAUUAAAUCCUUUCAAGGGUUGAUGCUGGGGUUUGUGUUUUAACUACUGACUUGUCCAAAAAGUAGCUGUGAACCAAAUGGUGAUGCAAGGGUGGAGUGGGCAGCAGCGAUCCAAUGGCAGCAGAAGCAUUGAGCAGAGCAAUAUCCUGAAGGCAGGAGAUACCACACAGGAGGACUGGGCGAGCUUAGGGAUGGGAAAACAGCCUUUAAUGACAUGAAGGGCUUCAUCGUGAUGAUAGCAAGAGUUUAUUCUAACAAAUAUACAUGGUUCUGUUAGGCACAACUGAGUAAGAGAGACAGGUGAUUGCACUGGGCCAAAAAGCAGUCCAUGAAGCUACAAAGUAUGAAUGGCCAAGGCUGCUAUGGGCAGCUUUCAGCAGGAGGGAAGCCCUGGCCCCACUGCAUAGGGCUGGGCUGGGAAACACGCUGCAAUUCUCAUAGUACAGAUGGGUGAACUGCACCAGAGCAGCUGCAGAGAUGGGUGCUUAAGGGUGAUGGAGAGGACAAUGCAUGGUCCUUACCAAGGUCUGGGUGCAAGUGUAGCCGAUUUAACAUAAACACGAUGUCUCUGUAAGAUCCUUCAUUUCUUGGCUAUUCCCCCACCAAUGUGCCCAUCUGAGACAGUCUAAUAGGGAAUGAAGGAGGUUAACAAUGCUUGCUAGCUACUUUUGUUUGUAGAAAACAUAUGAAGCUUAGACAGAAAAUCAUUGCCAUUUUAACAUCUCCUUUUUCCUUUUUCAGAAUGCAGUGUAGCAGUUGAUACAAACACUGUGUGUGUUAACCCAGAUCAGCAGCUGGGUUAACAAGGACCCUGAUUCUGGGCCAUUCUGAGGUUUGGGUAAUGUUUUCAUCCUGUGUCCCAAGUUGUACCAACCUGUCUUCCAAAGCACAAGCAAUCAUUAUGUCAUUUAACAUCUCACUGCACUGUCUAAUACUUCAUAAGCCUCCUGUCUUUUAAGGUAUAUCAUACAUAUGCAAAGGAAAUUGCCUUCCAGCUUCUGUUCUUAACAAAAUCAAGGAAAAUAAAUCGUGACCAAUCUUACAGACGCCAUCACUUGCAUGGCACAAAAUAGUCUCAUGUUGUCUCGUCUGCUUUUUUCCCACCUAUCUGAAAUUCUCUUUCCCACUGACACAGUGAGAACUGCAUGCUGUGGAAAAUCAGUGUCCAUGUUAUAUAUUUCUGACAAGCCCUGGUAUUAUCCAGGGAACAAUCCGUUAUAUAUUGAGAGGUGAGAGCUUGUGCCUUUAACUCAUGUUAUCUCACCAUGAUUUCAAAUAUAAACACUUUCCAGGAGUGAGUGAAUAAAACUGAAGGCUUUAGGGUUCUGUCAUGUCCAGUUACAGUCAAGCUUCACACUGUAGCCCACUUCUGAAAAUAAGAAACUGUUUUUCUGAGCCAGUCCUUAUUUAUUUAUUUAUUUAUUUUGGCUGAGCUAAGUAGAUGUUUUGUUGUUGAAAUGUUUUGAAGCAAUGGGCCUUUUUUUGCAAAAUAUUUUCCAGCAGUGAAAUCAUGGAAUCAUUGAAUGGAAUCACAGAAUGGCUUGGGUUGAAAGGGACCCCAAGGAUCAUCAGUUCCAACCCCCCUGCCACAGGCAGAGCCACCAACCUCCAUACCUAAUACUAGACCAGGCUGUCCAGGGCUCCAUCCAACCUGGCCUUGAACACCUCCAGGAAUGGGGCAUCCACAACCUCUCUGCGCAGCUGUUCCAGCAACUCACCACUCUCUUGUAAGAGACUGCUAGAUCUUAAGCUGGUUCCAAUCACAACUGUGUCUGGGUACCUAUGGCAGAUGAAUGCUUUGGGCCAACAAGCGUUGGACCUGCCUACCUGUGCUCAUAAAUCCUGCAGGCUUUCAUGCACUGCUCAUAGGCAGAAAGUUUCUGAUGUGCAUAUGCUUGCAAGGAGUAAGACCCAAAGCAAAUUGAGUUAGGCAUGACAUCAAGACACACUUGCAAAAGCAAUUUUAAUCAAUUACAGCUACAAUCGCAUGCUGUACAAGCCGCAACUGGAUUGUCUUAUGUACCAGCCGAUCAUAUUGGGCAUGUAAGAUUAAAUUAAAGUUUUCUAAUUGCAUUUAGGAACAUACAAAAUACUACAGUCUAAAGUGUAGCAAAUUAAUUCUUCAGGCGUAACCUAAUUGGAUGGAAAUUGAUUUAUCGUGUUUGGACCAAAUGAGCCAGUAAGGCAUGACUAGGAACCGCGCGGUAAGGAGAACACCAUGUGUGUGUCAGUACCACUUAGAGGAGAGAGCAUGUCCAGGAGAAAUGAAGGGUGCUGUGUCGGAACGUCUCUUCUCUCUGCAAAGGGAAGCACUGAUACAUUCCCAGCCUCUUUUGUUCUUAUGCACAGAGUGACUGGAGAGCUUUUGCUUACUUCUGAAACUCCAGGGUGUAGAUAGGUGAGUAAGGGAAGGAGGAAAAGAUUUUCUCGGGUUCUGUAAAUAUUAUCAUUCUGUAAAGGGAGGAUUUCAGCCAUUAUCCUAACAUGCAGUAGAAGUGGGUAUAGAAUUUCCCCCGGAUUUUUGGAUAGCCAAGCAACGGGGCCAGGGCUGAAGGCAUCCCCAGUACAGGAAGGACGAGGAGCUCUUGGAGCGGGUCCAGAGGAGGGCCACUAAGAUGGUCAGAGGGCUGGAGCACCUCUCAUAUGAGGAAAGGUUGAGGGAAAUGGGCUUGUUUAGCUUGGAGAAGAGAAGACUUCGGGGACACCUCAUUGUGUACUUGAAGGGAGAGUAUAAACAGGAGGGGGAACGUCUGUUUACAAGGGUGGAUAACGACAGGACAAGGGGGAAUGGUUUUAAACUGAGACAGGGGAGGUUUAGGUUGGAUAUUAGGAGGAAGUUUUUCACGCAGAGGGUGGUGACGCACUGAACAGGUUGCCCAAGGAGGCUGUGGAUGCCCCAUCCCUGGAGGCAUUCAAGGCCAGGCUGGAUGUGGCUCUGGGCAGCCUGGGCUGCUGGUUGGCGACCCUGCACAUAGCAGGGGGUUGGAACUGGAUGAACGCUGUGGUCCUUUUCAACCCAGGCCAUUCUGUGAUUCUAUGAUUCUAUGAUCUCAUUCUCUCCAGAAGAUAACCUAUUUUAGGGUAAACCCUGUGGCACUUUCCAAUAGCAAUAGCACAGGAAGCUCUUUCCUCCCCAGUCUACCUUUUGCAUAAGGAGUAUGUUCUCUUUGUUGGCUUGGCCUCAUUCUGGCUGCCAGCCUGGGGAUGGCUGGUGAUGCACAGGUACAGCCAUAGAAGGCUGUUCAAGAGAUGCCUAGUAUUAUUAAUAAUACAAGGAAAAUUAAAUUUGCUUAUCACAAUGAGGGGAAGAAGAAUAAAGUUUAUUAAAUCUCCCCACCAAAAACGCUGACUUACUGAAAAUAACAGGUCUUCAUUAAGAAGAAGCUAAUUUGCCAUAAAGAAUUGCUUUACUUAUGUAAAGGGACCAAUUGCUGUAAUUGUGAGCAGCGCUCAAAAUGUCUCCCGGAGAAGAGAAGAGCUGCGCCUUCCUGAAUUUUAACUGCACAGGUUCUUGGAGUUGUGCUUUCCCCAAAGUGAAAUGCAAGCUUUAAUCAUCUGGAAAAUUAGAGGAUGGCAUUUGGGGUAUACAGAAAAAACAGAGGAGAGAUACUGCUAGCUUCCCAGCGAGAGUCCAACUCGCAUAGUAACUAAAAGGGAUGUUUCUCUUGUGGCUUACAGGGUGAACCUACUUAACAGCUCACAACUGUUUGGUAUCUCUGGAGGUUAAUUUUGAGAGCAAACAACUUGGAGUCAAGAAAAUCCUCAGCCUAUAAAGGGAGCAUCUACAUUUUAGCAGAGCCUCGUGCAAAAGCCUGGGAGAGAUUGAAUGGUGCAGUGACUCCCUGCUUGCUCCCAUUCCUCCAAAGGGGACACAGCACAGCCGAGGUGAGAAAUCUCACUUUCUGGGUCGGUUGUUCUCAGCACAGAUAUUGAACAGCUGUGGAAAGUUCACCUUCUCCCCAGGUUUGCUCUGAUUGCGCAGCUCAUGCUAGGUGAGCAACCUGACAAGCAGUGUUGUGCAGCAGAGCAGAGAAGGGGGAAUGGAUUGGCUCUGCUUUCAUUUCUUGCCAGCUUUUCCCCUGUCUGUGGGUUCCCAAAGGAAUUUUAGGCGAAGCAAGUCUGUUCUGGAAUCUUGGAGCACCAGGAUGUUGUGGUUUAACCUGGCUGGUGGCUCAGCAGCACAGAGUCAUUCGCCCCAAUGGGAUAGGGGAGGGAAGUGGGGGAAAAAAAAUGUAGAACUCGUGGGUUGAGAUAAAAUGAUUUAUUAAGAGAAAGGGAAAAGAGUAAGAUUUAUGACUACAUAUAGAUAUAUAUAUAUAUGAAUGUAUAUAACAAGUGAUGCACAAGCAAUUGCUCAUCACCCCACCCAGUUGUCCCUGAGCAGUGGAACAGAUCAAGAUGCGCUCCCACCCCCUUCAAAACUCCUUCCACAUGAUGCUAUAUGCUGUGGAUCAUCCUUUUGGACAGCUUAAGGAAGCUGUCCCAACUCUGUCCCCUCCCAGCUCCUUGGGCCCUUUGCUGAGAAUGACCCUGGCUCUGUGCAGCACUGCUUAGAGACAACUAUCAGCAUCAGUGUGUUAUCAACGUUGUUUUUCUCCUAGAGCCAAAACAUAGCAUCGUACCAGGCACUCUGAGGAAAACAAUUCCAUCCCAGCUGAAUGUAAGACAAGGGGUAUGGGAGGAUGCGGUGGAUCUGGUAUGUCUGAUGUGAAAAGCCACUACAGAGCAAAUAGCACCUGCAUACUGAUGUACCUCAGGUUGAUGCUGCAAACCUGCUGGGUGUAGCCCAGUGAAAGAUGGCAGCCAAGGACCUCAGCGCUGCAGAGGUAUUAACAGAGUUACAGGAGCUGUACGUGCAGUGUCACACCUGAUUUUAGACAACUUGCCUUCAGUAUUCAGUGCGCCAUUUCCCUUCGCAGUGGUUGGCUGCAGCACAGAUUUGAACAAAUGAACAUUUAUAGGAUACAGAAUCACAGAAAGGCUUGAGUUGGAAGGGACCUCAAAGACCAUUUAGUUCCAACCCCCCCCCCCCCGCCACGGGGAGGGCUGCCAACCACUACAUCAGGCACCUGAUCGGGUUGCCCAGGGCCCCAUCCAACCUGGACUUGAAUGUGGGGCAUCCACCUUUAAGACUUCAAAAUGCAUUUAAGUGUGUUUAAGAAUUUCAGAUGGUACUUUCAAGCACGCAAGGCUGGUUGGUGCCAGUGAUUUAUGGGGAGCUUGGAGGCAGCGCUGCUUGCCUGGCUGUGUGUGCUGUGGCUGCCUGAAGCCACUGGACCCGCUCUGGUUUCUAUCAGCUGUGGAUGGGUCCCAGAGCCCUGCAGGGUUCCUCUGAGUGACUUGAAGCACAUUCCCUCCCGUGGUGGAUGCGGGCCAGAAUGGAAAUUGAAAAAUGGGAGGAAAGGGCUGGAGACAGACACACUCCUGAGCGAUCCGGUGCCAUAAAAGCAAAUCCCUGUGGAGGCUUCUGGGAUUAUUUAAAAGAGGUGGUAAAUGACUCAGAAUAAAAAUAUAACAUAGUCCAGAAUCACCAGCUGUGUUUUCCUUCGAAUGGUUUAACAGUGAUUGUGUGCUAUGUCUAACAAUGAAAACAGAGCGAAACUCUUCUGCUGGAGUUUGCAGGCUGCCAGACUGCUGGGCAGUGAGAUGCUUGAGGAGGAGAAACUGCUUCAGAGGGGGGUACAGGUCCUGCUGGAUCCCUUCUAGGCAGCUCCAUGGGGGCUCAGUAAGCCCCAUUCCCAGAGAUUAACAUCCUUUGAGAGGAGAUUCACAUUAGUGAGAUUUUUAUUUAGUGGUAGCUGUUAUGGAGGUGAUAAAUACAUGUUAUAUCGAGUGGUUGUAUGCGUAUCAGUGGUUAUUAUCAUUAGGUGUUCAUAACCAACCUGUGCAUCUACUGACCUUGUAAUAAUCUGUACAAAUUGAUUAACUACUUAUCCCAACAUCCUUUCACCAGCCCUUUAGAAGCAGUUUAUGAACACACCCCUAACACAGAACAUUCUCACUCAGCUGUUUUCUUGACCUUGGGGCACAGCGCGAGGAAUCGAGCGCAUUAAUGCCUCAGAAGUCCUGCUCAUGAUUAUCACAAGGCUGAAUCUGUGCGUGGAUCAGUGCGUGCUGCUGCGAGGUUUCCCCAGGACCAGUCAGUGGCUGCGUGUGCAAUUGCUGCUGGCCCACACGCAUCGCUGCACAGCAGCGUGGGGCUGCUCUAGUGCAGAAAAUAGGGCAGGAUGCUGCUGGCAGUGCACUGCUUCCCCCGGAGCCCCCCCCGGUGCCUGCACUGCGCUGCAGGGGGAUGCCUGCUGCCUGCACUGCGGGCUUGGUGCACACAGAUCGCUUCUGAAGCACGGGGGCUGGGAAUCAGGGCAUCUGAGAACAACAACUGAAAGAAGGCAUGACAGGCACUGACCCUUCUGCCAGUUCUCCCUGUGCUCAGAUGCAGCACUGCAUGUGCUAUGUUGGCUCAGCCUCACCCCCACUCCCCUGAGCCUAUUUCUUGGUGUCCCCUGUUCACUUUGACCAUCGGUCCCUUUCCUUGGCUUUGUUAUCAGACCCACAAUCAGGGUUUAGUCAAAAUUGCCUCCAUUUUAUAUGCUUCCUCAAGGAGAUCGGCCAUGUCCAGACCCAUGCCAUGGGGAUGGCGGGGACAGCAGAGGCAGAGUUUCAGCAGACUGCAGCUAUCAGGGUCCAUCCAGCCCAGUGAGAGCAGGGCCAGCAGCACCUCCCUAUGCACCCCUGUGAGGACAAUGCCUUUGGCUGUUCUUUGUAUUUAACACUCACCUGUUUUGCUAUCCAGCUGAACAGAGCAAGCUUGGAGCGUGUGUUCAAUGCUACACAUGCAGAGUUGAACCUUCCACUCAUGUCCAGCUCUACUUCAUAAGACACGGGAGCUCCCAUCAUUACCAUCAGCCAAAAAUCUGCUCAAGCAACUCCACUGAAGGCUCUGGGAGGUGUGGCUUCUGCUCACAGUUUACUUUUUCAUUUGCUGAGCCAACCCCAUGUUCUGCAGGGUGGUGCUCACUGAGCAGCCAGCGCUGGAGCUCUGAGCUCCUUCCUUGGACAUACCGUGAGCCAUGGAUAGCAGUGGUUGGAAUUUGCCAACGUGUGCAGCACAUGUAUGGUGACUGUAUUUUGAAAAAAAAAUACAAUGUGGGAAAAAAAAAGAGAAAAGUAUUUUAAUUAUUUUAAAGGGCAGUAUUUGAAACAGAACCAAAGCCUUAAUUCUAGUAAGACUACCCACUAAUUUCAACCAGCUUCCCAAGCAGCAGCAGGAUUUCACUGGCAACAAAUUAUUUUCAUCACAGAAAUGUUAUCAUUUCAGGUUUUCAGCAGCUCCACUGAUGCAGGUGGUUCAGUUGAAGCCAGGCCGUAACAAAGCUGUUUCCUAAACGGUUCUUCUAAUUUUCAUGGUGAUUACUGCCAGCCAUCACAUUUAGUAGUCGCUUCAACUUCUUUUGGAAAUCUGUUGAUGUUUCCUGGGAUGAUGCUGUGAACACAGUGAGUCUCCGUGUUGCCUGAUGCAGAUUGUGCCUAUCGAGGGCAUAUCUACGCAGUGGCAAACCAUCUGCGAGCAGCCAGGAUUUAUUGUUUCACUGAUUCCUGGAACUGAAAAUAUUAACGACGUAAAAUAUUGAUUUGAGAAAACAAACCAAAGUUGUUUGGUGAGCCCCUCAUUCGGGCGCGAUGCUGAGAUGUCCAUCCAUUCCGUUUGUAUUUAUUGCGUGCAUUAUGUGCUACACGGAGCACCAAGCAUGAAAAAUACGCAGCCUAAGCUGAGUAACCUUAUUUCUUCUGAUUUCGUGUGAUCAGGAGGUGCCGUGCUUCCAAUUCAGGAGUAAAUUAGAGCCUGCUUUUCUUUGCCUAUUAAGAAUAACGGUGUGGACAAACACUGCUCCUGAUUUACUCUGUCAGAUCAUGCCCAAGUGGAAGAAGAGCCCUCCUGCACCAUAGCUUUGGGAGCAUCACAGUGGGAUGCAGUGCAGUCACGGGGAACACCAAAAAACCCACUUGUAUGAAGACAUCAGUGACUGGGAGCCUGCAUGACACAUACUCCUGUAGCCACAAGCACACACUGCCAGCCCCCAGGAGGUGACCCCAUCCACCCCCUGUGCCCCUGGAGCAGUUCAUUACAGUGCCCAGCUUUUCUAAGUGAGAUUUAUGGCUUGCCUGGGGAUAAUCAUUGCAAGGAAAAAGAUCAAUGAUAUGCAAGUCAGUGGGAAAAGCAGCAAGUUCCAAUCGCUGCCUCGUUGGAAGGCAUCAAACAUCUUCAUAAACUAUUUAAAGGUAGAAAUGAUCAUUAACCUUUGCUGUAGCCCAUUGCACACAGAGCAGUCAGUGCCGUUUAGGAUGACACACGGCUCAGCUGUGCAUGUCAGUGCUCUCAGGUCAUCUGCCCACCAGCUCUGUAUUGGAGGAGGUUUUGGAUGGGCAAGCCAAACAAAGCAGAGCUCGUUGCUCACUCUUCAGCCUUGCUUUGCAUCGACUCGCCGCUGCAUCACUUUACAGCCACCUCAAAUUAACAGCCGUGGUUAUUUUCCUUAGUCAUUAUUAUCCUUAAUAUGGCACGAAAGCACUUCAUUUUUCCUAUGGGACAAACCAUGACCCAGAUUCUCGUGUGCAGAGAUGGGAGAGGAGCAGCUCACCCGGGCUCAGCCUCUUUCUUUGAAAGCACAUUGAGGUGACAUCAGUGUCCCUGUGGUCCCACACCGCAUCCCUCUGCUGUGAGGACUCAUAGCACUCACUGCUAUGUUCUGAGUGGGAGAUGGUGUUGACAAUUCCAAUCCCACCUCCUUUCCUCCCGGCCUCUCUGAUGCUGGAUCAAUGACAUUUUUCUGAAGCUGCCUACAUUUGGUGUUUUACUGCCAACUGCAUGUGGCCCUCUCAUUUUAAUUACUUCUGCUGUGUCUAGCACUAUAUGCUCUAUAAUGUUUCAGAGGCUGCUUGCAAUUAAAAUAAAAAAUAAGUAAUACAUUACAGGUUACAACCCAGUCAAUCUCCAUGCAUUGUAAUUCACAGCAGCUUUAUAUGCUGAGCUUUCCAAGUGGCUUAUAGCCCACAUAAUAACAACAAAACCCUGAGCCACAGGAAAAGCAAGGCAGAGAUAUUGUCUUUCUGAGUACCUUUCCUGGUGGGUGCUUUAUUUUUCCAGUUCCUUUGCUCUUGAAAGAAAAUGUUGACAUACUUAACUUCCCAUCUCCUGGUUUCCAGGGGACUCAAUGCAAUCAGGCUCCUUGCUGGGGAGGGGCUAUGCUUAUACCCUGUUGUGCAUUAGUGAUGUCUGGGGCCAACUCCCACCUUGCUGUAACCUCCUUUCAUGUCAUUGUGGAGAGCAAUGAGGUCUCCCCUGAGCCUCCUCUUCUCCAGGCUGAACUAUCCCAGUUCCCUCAGCCACUCUCUAUGAGACUAAAAGGGCUGGGAGGAAAUAAGCACAUAUAGAUUAGAGUAUUUUGGCUUCAUGUCAACAAAACACAUAAGCAUGCGCUUAACUUUACGCACUACCACGGUUCUACCCAUGAAAAACACGGACAAAAUGUCCUCCUGUUCUCCUGCUGGGUAAUUCUAACAAUUAUUUCUCAUUGGUUUUUAUUUUUCAGUCCUCCUUUCUCCCCACAAACUCUUUCAGCCUAUCUCAGAGAACGUGGAAAAGCCUAAAUGAAACAACUCAUGCAGGGAAGCACAAGGGGGAUUUUUGUUUAGAAAUCCUAGCAGCAGAUUUCCAUUAUUAUAAAUACAGGCUGAAUUCACUGGUGACAAUAUACAACAUUUAAUUUACAUGUAAAGUGACAAAUUAAAAUCUGAAAUUCCCUGCUUUGUUCUCUGAAAGAAAUGUAACACGACAAGCUCUGAAAGGUGCUCAGCUCUGCCCCGGCAGCACUGCAGGUCUGUGGCUUCAUGUGAUGUGAUGGAGCCCUUAGCAGUGUCAGAAACACCUCAACCCAAUCAUCCAAAGGUGUUUGGGUGCUCAAGUCUCAUCCCAGUUGGGUGUUUUGAGAGUAGAUCCCAGGAGCUGGGUUGAAAUGCAUGCGGGGAGCUGCUGAUUUGAGCACAUUUUGGGCCAGGGGUUGUGUUUACAUCUUAUCACUUCUGUCCUUGCUCCAUUUGUGUCUUGCUGCUUCUGUAAAGCUGCUCCAUCCUUAGCCCAUCCUUGCAGCCUUUCUUGGUGUCUUUUCCAGUUCUAUUGCAGACGGUGCUGACGAGUGGCAGUAUCUGUGUUUUGCAAUAGUGACUCUCAUACACGAGGUGUGGUGGGCAGUGUGUUGGAAGCAAUCUGCUGGCAGUGUGCUGGUGUGGACUUCUCAGCCUGGUCGUAGAAGCUUCCCUGGCCAUCAGCUCCAUGGUCCAUUAUCUCCUUCCCUGCUGACCACCUGAUUACUGCAGCCUUACAAAUCCUCUCCUGCCGCACUUGAAACGUGGCCAAAACAUGGGUAAUACCUACACCUGCCCUCACCUCAUUUCACUUCUAUGCUUUCCAGCAGUGGGGAUAGACAUGAAAAUGCCCCAUCGCUGCUGCGGCACUUUGCUUUUGACUGCAGCAGGUCCAGGGCACAGAUAGGUGCCACUGUUCAUUUGUUACAGCAGCAAACAACAUCAGCCCGGCUGACACUUGCCUCAGUGAGUGCUUUCCUCUGUAGGAAUUCACAAAACAAUUGCUUAAUCUUUUCUGACACUCUUUAGGUGUUUAAACAACAAAAAAAACCUACCAGCUUAUUCCCAUUCCCUGACACGGUGAUGUAGAGACCUGGAGAAUUAAACUGCUGAUGAGCUCCUUUGUUUUAAAUGAUUGCAGUAGGACAUAAAGGAGAGUGGUUUUAACUAGGCUAAGUGAAACAUAAGUUUUCUGAAGGAUACUGAUGUCUCUUUUCAAGAGGCAUCACUAACAGUUGUCUGCUGAGGCAAGCUUGGAUGGAAACACCAGGGCUCUCUGUUGAGCUGGAAUCUGAUUUCUGGGGGUGAACUCCUGCUUCGUAUCCCACUGCAGUCAGCGGGAGAUCUCCCCAUGACAUGGGAUGGGAUGGGGUGUCCUGAACAUCUCCCUGGAGCAGGAAGAGCUGAGAGAGCUCAGCUCUGCAGCCACGGGGCCUCCCGGGUCAGGUCAGCCCCAAAAGAGAGCCCAUGGAGUGCAGAUGUGCAGCUGCACAUCUUGGUGUACCCGGUUCCCCUAUCAACAGAGCCGCACAAAUUGUGCUCAGACCAACCCUACCCAAUUUCUCAGUGCAGUGGUAACAACCAGAGGCAGCUUGCACACAGGAGUGCACACACUGCAUGGCCAACUUCAGAGCAAGAAGAGGUGGGUAGGAAACACACCAGCUAUCUGCUGGCCUCAGUGCUAAGCUCUGUUCAAAUUUACAACCCCAGGCUUCUGCUAAUGAACCAAAUACUCCUCCUUGGGACCAUAUGUUGUGCCAUGCUCCCACUGCAGCCAUCCCGAGUGGCAAAUAUAGUGUUGGUUCGUUUUGUUCUGUUUCAUUCCUGCCGAUCCCAAAUGCCAGCACCAGGUACAGAGAAUGCUGCAGGGAGGAAAAUAAAAGAUGCUUUGUGCACAGUGCCCAGCCUGGGAGUGUUUUUCCAAAGGAGGCAGGUGGGAAGGG
ensembl:lncRNA